rnacentral:rRNA from 1 species
GACGAACGCUGGCGGCGUGCUUAACACAUGCAAGUCGAACGGAAAGGCCCUGCUUUUGUGGGGUGCUCGAGUGGCGAACGGGUGAGUAACACGUGAGUAACCUGCCCUUGACUUUGGGAUAACUUCAGGAAACUGGGGCUAAUACCGGAUAGGAGCUCCUGCUGCAUGGUGGGGGUUGGAAAGUUUCGGCGGUUGGGGAUGGACUCGCGGCUUAUCAGCUUGUUGGUGGGGUAGUGGCUUACCAAGGCUUUGACGGGUAGCCGGCCUGAGAGGGUGACCGGCCACAGUGGGACUGAGAUACGGCCCAGACUCCUACGGGAGGCAGCAGUGGGGAAUAUUGCACAAGGGGCGGAAGCCUGAUGCAGCAACGCCGCGUGCGGGAUGACGGCCUUCGGGUUGUAAACCGCUUUCGCCUGUGACGAAGCGUGAGUGACGGUAAUGGGUAAAGAAGCACCGGCUAACUACGU